rnacentral:lncRNA from 1 species
AUGCGGAGAUGGCCGUUCCGACCGGAGGCGGGAACAAAGAGUCGCUGCCGUUCAACCCCAGGCAGCGUUCGCCGGGCUCCAGUCCCGGGAACGGUCGCAGGGGCCUGGCGCGCUCCCCCGGCGGGCAGGUCCCUGGCGGGGCCCGCGCGGCGCGGCGUGGAGGCGGCGGGCGGCGGGGCGGCAGGAGCGACCCCCCGAGAGGCGGCAGGGCGGGGCCGGCGGGCGGCGGGAUGCGGGACGCGCCGGGCCCGCGGCACCUCCGACUGCUGCGCGUCUGCGGAGAGCGGCUGCGAGUAUUUGUUGGUGACAGAAUGGAUGCCAUUGUUAAAGCUGACAGCAAGAUAUGGCUCACUUUCAUUCUGGGUGAGUAGAAGGAAUAUGCUGGGGAGAAAUGUAUUCCUUUUCUUUCUUUCUUUCUUCUGCAGCUGUAAGUUGUAUCAAAGUAUAGUGAGAAGUGUGAGUCGAAAAGGAAAAAAAUAACCUGGCUUACAGUGAAAAUGGAUCAGGAAAUACCUUCACCAUUUUUUUGAACUUAUUACAGCAGUCAAUAUGAUGUUGAGACAUUUGUUUGAAGAUGAUUGCCCAGAAGAAAUGUAUAGAUCUCCCCUAUUCGGUCUUUAAUUAUCAAAGUAUUGAUAAGUAAUUAGUCAAAACCAGCUUGUUUUGCAAGGAUUAUGGCUGGAAGAACCUAAAGCUGGUGGGGGAUGUAAAUUUAAAUGGUAUCUCUGGGAAUAUUUGGGAGUAAAUGGCAAAAUGGCUGAAGGCCAAAAUCUUGGAAAGAGCAUCCAAAGUGCUUGCAAAAUUAUAUAAAAAAAAUGCUCUCCUAAAGUCAGCAGAUGUUAUUAAUAGCAUAUUUAACUGAUGCAGAGUUAUCUGUUCUCUAAAAGGUGUAUUAAAAGACUGUCAAGGAAUUCCAAUGAUGCUGGCAGUAUUGAUGACACUGCCAGUGGUCUUGUUGCCAGAGGGAGUUUCUUCAGUUUGAUGAAUUGCCUUGCAGAGUAAUGGCAGAAAAGCAACACUUAGCGUACAGACUAAUUGAUGAAUAAACUGCUCCUGAAUUGCUUUGCUUAUUUCUGU